CUGUUAAUGAUACUCAAUCUUAUACACCUGGAGUUUAUCCUUCCCAAGACUUCCAUCCUUCUCCAUCUUCCCAGGAUUAUCAUCAUCCACCACCUUCCCAGGAUUACCACCAUCCUCCACCUUCCCAGGAUUACCAUCCUCCUCCACCUUCCCACGAUUAUCAUCCUCCUCCACCUUCCCACGAUUAUCCUCCUCCACCACCUUCCCACGAUUACCAUCCUCCACCUCCUUCCCAAGAUUACCAUCAUCCUCCACCUGCCAGAUCAGAAAGUUCCUAUUCUGAGCUCUACAACCACCAGCAAUACACACCAGAUCAGUCACAGAAUUUAGGUCCAAAUUACCCUUCUCAUG
rnacentral:lncRNA from 1 species